rnacentral:rRNA from 1 species
AGAGUUUGAUCCUGGCUCAGAUUGAACGCUGGCGGCGUGCCUAACACAUGCAAGUCGAGCGGUCGUAGCAAUACGUGAGCGGCGAACGGGUGAGCAAUGCUUCGGAAUCUACCCAAUGAUGGGGAAUAACCAGUCGAAAGAUUGGCUAAUACCGCAUACGCCCUACGGGGGAAAGACCUUGCGUCGAUGGAUGAGCCGAAGUCGGAUUAGCUAGUUGGUGAGGUAACGGCUCACCAAGGCUACGACGGGUAGGGGGCCUGAGAGGGCGUACCCCCACGCUGGAACUGAAACACGGUCCAGACGCCUACGGGUGGCAGCAGGGAGGAGUAUUUGACAAUGGGCGAAAGCCUGAUCGAGCAACGCCGCGUGGAGGAUGAAGGUCUUCGGACUGUAAACUUCUUUUUAGGGAGACGAGAAGGACGGUAUCCCUAGAAUAAGCCACGGCUAACUACGUGCCAGCAGCCGCGGUAAGACGUAGGUGGCGAGCGUUAUCCGGAUUUACUGGGCGUAAAGCGUUUGUAGGUGGCUUAGUAAGUUGGGCGUGAAAUCUCCGGGCUUAACCUCGGAGAGGCCGU